AGAGUUUGAUCCUGGCUCAGAACGAACGCUGGCGGCAUGCCUAACACAUGCAAGUCGAACGAGAUCUUCGGGUCUAGUGGCGCACGGGUGCGUAACGCGUGUGAAUCUGCCCUUUGGUUCGGAAUAACAGUUGGAAACGACUGCUAAUACCGGAUGAUGACGAAAGUCCAAAGAUUUAUCGCCAGAGGAUGAGCCCGCGUAGGAUUAGCUAGUUGGUGUGGUAAAGGCGCACCAAGGCGACGAUCCUUAGCUGGUCUGAGAGGAUGAUCAGCCACACUGGGACUGAGACACGGCCCAGACUCCUACGGGAGGCAGCAGUGGGGAAUAUUGGACAAUGGGCGAAAGCCUGAUCCAGCAAUGCCGCGUGAGUGAUGAAGGCCUUAGGGUUGUAAAGCUCUUUUACCCGGGAUGAUAAUGACAGUACCGGAGAAUA
rnacentral:rRNA from 1 species